UGCAGGAAAGAGGGACAAGAUACGCAGGAUGAGUUGCAGAAGAGGGACUUCCGGGAGGAGCUAGAAGAGCGUGAGCGAAGGCAUUUUUCCUCCAAGGACAAGUCCUAUACUGAAGAUAAAGACCGAAGAAAAGGGCAUCUUCUCUUGGAGGGAACAAGGAGAGAGGCUAAAGAUAGGAUUGUUCCAAGGAAUAUUGAUGCUGACGACUCUGAUGUAGAUGUCAAUGACGAUGAAGACAGU